GACGAACGCUGGCGGCGUGCUUAACACAUGCAAGUCGAACGGAAAGGCCCUGCUUUUGUGGGGUGCUCGAGUGGCGAACGGGUGAGUAACACGUGAGUAACCUGCCCUUGACUUUGGGAUAACUUCAGGAAACUGGGGCUAAUACCGGAUAGGAGCUCCUGCUGCAUGGUGGGGGUUGGAAAGUUUCGGCGGUUGGGGAUGGACUCGCGGCUUAUCAGCUUGUUGGUGGGGUAGUGGUUUACCAAGGCUUUGACGGGUAGCCGGCCUGAGAGGGUGACUGGCCACAUUGGGACUGAGAUACGGCCCAGACUCCUACGGGAGGCAGCAGUGGGGAAUAUUGCACAAUGGGCGGAAGCCUGAUGCAGCAACGCCGCGUGCGGGAUGACGGCCUUCGGGUUGUAAACCGCUUUCGCCUGUGACGAAGCGUGAGUGACGGUAAUGGGUAAAGAAGCACCGGCUAACUACGUG
rnacentral:rRNA from 1 species